rnacentral:lncRNA from 1 species
AUAAACACUUCCAGUUCUAGAUCUUGAAACCCAAAAAAAUAAAAAAUAAAAACAGAUUUUUUCCCCAAACAUAAGUGUCUCUGUUUCACAUGCGAUGAGUGAGUGACACCUUCUCCUUGUUCUCUACAGACUGCAGAUCUCUCUCCCUCUCUCAUCUCGAUUGGAGAUUCAGUGAAAUCCCUAGAAAAUCACGACAAAUCUAGUAUGAUUUCUCUCUAAUUCAAACCGCAUAGGAUUGUGUUUUAAAUCUUCGAGCUCAUCGAUUGUGAAGCCUCACCAGUCAAUGCGAUGCUAG